GCCGGAAUAGCUCAGUUGGUAGAGCAGAGGACUGAAAAUCCUCGUGUCACANUUUCAAAUAA
rnacentral:tRNA from 1 species